UGCCUCAGUAACGGCGAGUGAAGCGGCAACAGCUCAAAUUUGAAAUCUGGCCCCCCGGGUCCGAGUUGUAAUUUGCAGAGGAUGCUUUUGGCGCGGUGCCUUCCGAGUUCCCUGGAACGGGACGCCAUAGAGGGUGAGAGCCCCGUACGGUUGGACACCAAGCCUGUGUAAAGCUCCUUCGACGAGUCGAGUAGUUUGGGAAUGCUGCUCAAAAUGGGAGGUAUAUUUCUUCUAAAGCUAAAUACCGGCCAGAGACCGAUAGCGCACAAGUAGAGUGAUCGAAAGAUGAAAAGCACUUUGAAAAGAGGGUUAAACAGCACGUGAAAUUGUUAAAAGGGAAGCGCUUGUGACCAGACUUGCGCCCGGUGAAUCACCCAGCUCUCGCGGCUGGGGCACUUUGCCGGCUCAGGCCAGCAUCAGCUCGCCGUCGGGGACAAAAGCUUCGGGAACGUAGCUCUCUUCGGGGAGUGUUAUAGCCCGCUGCACAAUACCCUUCGGCGGGCUGAGGUACGCGCUCCGCAAGGAUGCUGGCGUAAUGGUCAUCAGCGACCCGUCUUGAAACACGGACCAAGGAGUCAACCUUAUGUGCGAGUGUUCGGGUGUCAAACCCCUACGCGAAAUGAAAGUGAACGCAGGUGAGAGCUUCGGCGCAUCAUCGACCGAUCCUGAUGUUCUCGGAUGGAUUUGAGUAAGAGCAUAUAGGGUUGGACCCGAAAGAAGGUGAACUAUGCGUGUAUAGGGUGAAGCCAGAGGAAACUCUGGUGGAGGCUCGCAGCGGUUCUGACGUGCAAAUCGAUCGUCAAAUAUGCGCAUGGGGGCGAAAGACU
rnacentral:rRNA from 1 species